rnacentral:lncRNA from 1 species
AGUUUCGUCAUAGAUGAAACAACUGGUUUAAAUACAUCUCUAACAACAAAGUAAAGAGGAUGUAUUGCCUACAGUGGCUAAUUCCAGUGCUCCUGAUACCAAAACCAGUAAAUCCAACAUUGCUGCAAACGCAUGUCAUGUUUAUGGCACUUUAUCUAAUUGGAUUCUUCCUAGAACGAAAACCAUGCACUGUUUGUAGUUUAGUAUUUCUUCUUGCAGUUUUCCUAAUUUGUUAUAGUGGCAUUGGUAAUUGUUUCCUUUGGAGUACAAAUUGUGAUACAGUGAGAUGUGACAAUAGCUAAGGUUAUUAGAACGUUCAUCAUAGGUUAAAAAAUUGCCUCUACUUUCAUUUCUUUUAGAAGAAUAUGUCUAAUUAAUUCAUCGAUAACAACAUAACCUAUUCAUAGAAUUCAUAUGUAUUACAUAUACAUGAUUCUUAUUAAUUGUAUGCAAAUAUGAUUUUAUGGUUUUAAUCAUAACUUUUAUAGAUGUUACACAUGAUAUAUAUAUUUGUAAUGUACAUAUGUACAUGAAUAUGUACAUAUAUGCUUACAAUACCAUGUAUUUAUACAUACAGAAGAUAAAAACAUACAAACUUGCUAGGUCACAAAAAGUUUGCAUGAAAUUAAGAAACUUCCAAGUGUAAAAUUAUGACAAUUCAAUAUUAGAGAAUUAAGAUACAUCUUUUUGUAUAUACAAAUAAGUUUAAUUUCAUUUAAUUUAAUCCUAUUACUUGAUUGUACACUGUGUAACAUUAUUCUUUUAUUUAAAGAUGUUCUUUUUCUUAUAAAUUGUAUAUUCAAAAAAUUGAUGUUUUCGCAAUUUCUUUAAUUUGGUUAAACGUAUAAGAAUAUUGUUCUAUAAAUAAAAUUCAUUAUUAAACUAAAUAUAAAUGUCAAAUUUAGAAACAUCAAACACUUUGAAAUAUAAUACCAUUCAUUACGAAUGUUAAAUUAAAAUUUUGAGCUUAAUUAUUGUUUAUAUAUUAUUCUAAAUAAAUAAUUCAGCAGUA